rnacentral:rRNA from 1 species
UGGGGAAUAUUGCACAAUGGGCGCAAGCCUGAUGCAGCCAUGCCGCGUGUAUGAAGAAGGCCUUCGGGUUGUAAAGUACUUUCAGCGGGGAGGAAGGGAGUAAAGUUAAUACCUUUGCUCAUUGACGUUACCCGCAGAAGAAGCACCGGCUAACUCCGUGCCAGCAGCCGCGGUAAUACGGAGGGUGCAAGCGUUAAUCGGAAUUACUGGGCGUAAAGCGCACGCAGGCGGUCUGUCAAGUCGGAUGUGAAAUCCCCGGGCUCAACCUGGGAACUGCAUUGGAAACUGGCAGGCUAGAGUCUUGUAGAGGGGGGUAGAAUUCCAGGUGUAGCGGUGAAAUGCGUAGAGAUCUGGAGGAAUACCGGUGGCGAAGGCGGCCCCCUGGACAAAGACUGACGCUCAGGUGCGAAAGCGUGGGGAGCAAACAGG